rnacentral:rRNA from 1 species
AACGAACGCUGGCGGCAUGCCUAACACAUGCAAGUCGAACGAGACCUUCGGGUCUAGUGGCGCACGGGUGCGUAACGCGUGGGAACCUGCCCUUAGGUCCGGAAUAACUCCCCGAAAGGGGUGCUAAUACCGGAUAAUGUCUUCGGACCAAAGAUUUAUCGCCUUUGGAUGGGCCCGCGUUGGAUUAGCUAGUUGGUAGGGUAAAAGCCUACCAAGGCGACGAUCCAUAGCUGGUCUGAGAGGAUGAUCAGCCACACUGGGACUGAGACACGGCCCAGACUCCUACGGGAGGCAGCAGUGGGGAAUAUUGGACAAUGGGCGAAAGCAUGAUCCAGCAAUGCCGCGUGAGUGAUGAAGGCCUUAGGGUUGUAAAGCUCUUUUACCCGGGAUGAUAAUGACAGUACCGGGAGAAUAAGCUCCGGCUAACUCCGUG